CGUUGAAACAUCGGUUCCCGUAAGAUCACCGAAGAUAAGCAACGUUGAACUUGGUCUGUACUUAGAUGUGUGAGCACUUGGGAAUACCAGGUGUUGUAAG